rnacentral:rRNA from 1 species
GACGAACGCUGGCGGCGUGCCUAAUACAUGCAAGUAGAACGCUGAAGAGAGGAGCUUGCUCUUCUUGGAUGAGUUGCGAACGGGUGAGUAACGCGUAGGUAACCUGCCUUGUAGCGGGGGAUAACUAUUGGAAACGAUAGCUAAUACCGCAUAACAAUGGAUGACACAUGUCAUUUAUUUGAAAGGGGCAAUUGCUCCACUACAAGAUGGACCUGCGUUGUAUUAGCUAGUAGGUGAGGUAACGGCUCACCUAGGCGACGAUACAUAGCCGACCUGAGAGGGUGAUCGGCCACACUGGGACUGAGACACGGCCCAGACUCCUACGGGAGGCAGCAGUAGGGAAUCUUCGGCAGUGGGGGCAACCCUGACCGAGCAACGCCGCGUGAGUGAAGAAGGUUUUCGGAUCGUAAAGCUCUGUUGUAAGUCAAGAACGAGUGUGAGAGUGGAAAGUUCACACUGUGACGGUAGCUUACCAGAAAGGGACGGCUAA